UACAGAGGUCUCAAGCGUUGUUCGGAAUCAUUGGGCGUAAAGAGCGUGUAGGCGGCUCGGUAAGUCCGCUGUGAAAGUCCAGGCUCAACCCUGGAAUGCCAGUGGAAACUGUCGAGCUAGAGUCCGGAAGAGGCGAGUGGAAUUCCUGGUGUAGCGGUGAAAUGCGCAGAUAUCAGGAGGAACACCAAUGGCGAAGGCAGCUCGCUGGACGGUACUGACGCUGAGACGCGAAAGCGUGGGAGCAAACAGG
rnacentral:rRNA from 1 species